CCAUGCGCUACGUUACCAUCAGCCCUCUAUUUCUACUAACUUCGCUCAUGUUCAUAUAUAUUUACCACGUGGGCACCAAUUUGGAUAAGUUUAUCACUAGUGCAUUCAUCGCUGUUUUGUGCGUUAAUUCUAUCCUAAGAACGCUAACCGUGGUUCGCAAGCGCCACCAGUUCGAACAGUUUCUACAGAGAAUUUCCUCCGUCUACGAGGAGAUUAAGAAAAUUGAUGACCACACAGUGCGGAAAAUUCUUUCCAGUUUCACUACACAGGCAAGAAUGCUGUCAUUGG